rnacentral:miRNA from 1 species
CAUGACACGUAGUUCGCUGAAAU